GGUCACUUUAAAAAGUCCCACCCCCAUCUUCUGCGGAUUUUUAUUAAAUCCCAUCCGAAAGAGGACGAGAGUUGAUGAGAGUUCCCAAGCGAGAGUUUUCACAAUGCUAAAGAGUUGCGUGAGCUAAAAUCGAGCUCAAAGUGGACGAGAGUUGACAAAAAUGCACGAAAGUCGAUAAUAGAUAGAUAGAUAGAUAGAUAGAUAGAUAGAUAGAUAGAUAGAUAGAUAGAUAGAUAGAUAGAUAGAUAGUGUAUUUAAAAUUCACCUUGCAGCUCGACAGCUGAAUUGCGUGAUUUACAAAAGUAUAUAAAACAUUAUUUAAAAGAUAGAAUAUGGGUUAAUUAGGCAUAUUUACAAAUUGUCAUUAAAACGCU